GCUACUGUGGAGUAUUCUUUUGCCUGUUCCAGGAGAGAAGGAUUUCGUAUGGUUCUCCGUUCGGUGAAUUGAAGUGUUCGUGAGUUGCUGGUCCCGUAUCAAGGGGAGGAGGAUUUCGUAUGUUUUUCCGGUUCGGUGAAUUGAAGGGUUCGCGAAUUGCUAUUCCCGUAUCAAGGUGAAUCCCUUAUUCGGUAUUAACCCACGAUACCCUGGUUAUACCGUAACAGAGCGG